rnacentral:rRNA from 1 species
CGAACGAAGAGUUUGAUCCUGGCUCAGGAUGAACGCUGACAGAAUGCUUAACACAUGCAAGUCGACUCGAGUCUUCGGACUUGGGUGGCGCACGGGUGAGUAACGCGUAAAGAACUUGCCUCUUAGACCGGGACAACAUCUGGAAACGGAUGCUAAUACCGGAUAUUAUGGUUUUUUCGCAUGGAGGAAUCAUGAAAGCUAGAUGCGCUAAGAGAGAGCUUUGCGUCCCAUUAGCUGGUUGGUGAGGUAACGGCCCACCAAGGCAAUGAUGGGUAGCCGGCCUGAGAGGGUGAACGGCCACAAGGGGACUGAGACACGGCCCUUACUCCUACGGGAGGCAGCAGUGGGGAAUAUUGGACAAUGGACCACAAGUCUGAUCCAGCAAUUCUGUGUGCACGAUGACGUUUUUCGGAAUGUAAAGUGCUUUCAGUCGGGAAGAAGUCAGUGACGGUACCGACAGAAGAAGCGACGGCUAAAUACGUGCCAGCAGCCGCGGUAAUACGUAUGUCGCAAGCGUUAUCCGGAUUUAUUGGGCGUAAAG